CCCCCAAACCCCUAUUCUCCCGAAUCUCGAUUCCUCCCCCUGGGCUCUCCACACUCUCAUAGUCGAAUCUGAAUCCUUAACAAAUCAAUCAUCAAAUCCCAUUAAUCUCUUUCUCUUUCACGUCGAUCGUCAAUCUUUUUCUCGUCGACCGCCGACCGUCGACCAUCAACCUCUUUCCCGUCGAUUUGCUGAGUUUCGCCG
rnacentral:lncRNA from 1 species